rnacentral:rRNA from 1 species
GAUGAACGCUGGCGGCGUGCUUAACACAUGCAAGUCGAACGGAAAGGCCCAAGCUUGCUUGGGUACUCGAGUGGCGAACGGGUGAGUAACACGUGGGUGAUCUGCCCUGCACUUCGGGAUAAGCCUGGGAAACUGGGUCUAAUACCGGAUAGGACGAUGGUUUGGAUGCCAUUGUGGAAAGUUUUUUCGGUGUGGGAUGAGCUCGCGGCCUAUCAGCUUGUUGGUGGGGUAAUGGCCUACCAAGGCGUCGACGGGUAGCCGGCCUGAGAGGGUGUACGGCCACAUUGGGACUGAGAUACGUCCCAGACUCCUACGGGAGGCAGCAGUGGGGAAUAUUGCACAAUGGGCGCAAGCCUGAUGCAGCGACGCCGCGUGGGGGAUGACGGCCUUCGGGUUGUAAACUCCUUUCGCUAGGGACGAAGCGUUUUUGUGACGGUACCUGGAGAAGAAGCACCGGCUAACUACGU